AUGGAAGAAAGCAGGCCGCCGUUCCGUUCGAUCUGGCGGCGCAAAGGUCAGGGAGGCCUUCUUACAUGUGCCAGUCAAGCGGUUAGGCUCGCCUACAUCAUUACGCUACUCAUUUCUUGUGAAGUAGGCAGCAUGUGUUGCUCCACGGUGGCAGCCCAUGAUAACAGCAUGGACAUGAUCUCGCUGCUGGAUUUCAAGCGGGCCAUCACCAACGACUCGAGGCAAGCCUUGAGAUCCUGGCACGCCGGCGUCCCUCUUUGCCGUUGGAAUGGCGUCGACUGCAGCCCGACGGGGCGAUUCACCAAGCUGUACCUCAGCGAACGAGGGUUGUCCGGCCCAAUUUCACCGUCCCUCGGGAAUCUAACGUUCCUUAGGGAAUUGGACCUGUCCAGUAAUGGCUUCACCGUCGAGAUACCUCCUCUGAACCAUCUCCAAAGAUUGGAGUACCUUGACUUGGGGGACAACUCACUGCGAGGGACCAUUCCAGAUACUCUCACAAACUGCUCCAAUCUACAGGCCCUAUACCUGUAUUACAACUUACUAAUAGGAGAACUUCCCAGCAGUGUAGGCUGCCUAUCCAAUCUAGUGUCGUUAAUUGUUGGAGGAAAUAAUCUCACCGGAGAAAUCCCACCAAGCCUAAAAAACAGUAGUCAGCUUCAAAUCAUCUUGCUUACUGAUAAUAAGAUCACCGGAAUCAUACACUAG
rnacentral:rRNA from 1 species